rnacentral:rRNA from 1 species
GAGUUUGAUCGUGGCUCAGAUUGAACGCUGGCGGCAUGCCUUGCACAUGCAAGUCGAACGGCAGCACGGGAGCUUGCUCCUGGUGGCGAGUGGCGAACGGGUGAGUAAUGCAUCGGAACGUAUCCUGGAGUGGGGGAUAACGUAGCGAAAGUUACGCUAAUACCGCAUAUUCUGUGAGCAGGAAAGCGGGGGACCUUCGGGCCUCGCGCUCUUGGAGCGGCCGAUGUCGGAUUAGCUAGUUGGUGAGGUAAAGGCUCACCAAGGCGACGAUCCGUAGCAGGUCUGAGAGGAUGAUCUGCCACACUGGAACUGAGACACGGUCCAGACUCCUACGGGAGGCAGCAGUGGGGAAUUUUGGACAAUGGGGGCAACCCUGAUCCAGCCAUGCCGCGUGAGUGAAGAAGGCC